UGCAUUUCCCGCAGUGUUUCUCAAUCGCAAGUAACAGCUAAGCCUGUCAGGGAAAAUAGAAAACACUUAUGUGGGCCAAUCCUCCAGGAACUGCUAGAGCCCUGGGGACAGCCAGCACACAGUGGGUCCAGGAAGCGGACAGAAUGGAGAGGACAGGACUCUGGGGGUGGCCAUGGCUGCUGCUGCUGCUCCUGCUGCUCUGGGUCUCAGGAUUCGAAGCGGUAGGUGAAGAGGAGAAGCAAAUAUGCCUGCAAGAAGGAAGGAACCUGAGCGUAUCUUGCGUUUACAACAUCAUGCUCUAUGAGUCCAGCCUCAAGGCCUGGCAGCGGGUGGGGAGCCAGGGUUCCGCAGAGACACUGGUACGCACGAACACUAGAAACACGGACAGAAACGUGGCCCGGGUUGGGAGAUACUUCCUGGAGGAUGAUCCCACCAUCGCCGUCGUCAGCGUCACAGUGACAGAGCUCCAGAGGCAGGACUUGGGGCUGUACCAGUGUGUGAUUGACCUCUCAUCACGGAGCCCCUUGGUGCUGCUGCCUAGGAUUCGGCUGGUACAGUGUGAAGGUGAGGCAAACCCAGCAAAGCAGCAAAGUCAGCCUUCCAGGAGCUGAUGGGUAUGCCGUCCUCCCCUAACAAACAUCACGUUUCACUUCUCUUCAAUAAACAAACAAACAAAUUUCUCUCUCAGGACGGGCAAACAGAGAAAACCCGAUAGACGAAUUUCAUUAGAAGGCACCAGCUCCCUUCUUCAAAAGGGCAAGAAAAGGUAUAAUAAGAGCCUUUUCCCCACGCUGGGCACCCCAUUCGGGACCCCCUCCCACUCGGGAGCUGUGAUCCUUUGCUUUUAAUAAACUAUCCUUUUUUACAGCUCCUUGCCACUCCUUGGUCCGUGCUUCCAUUCUUCAGUUUCACGAGACACAAUCCCAGCACUCACAGAAAUUU